rnacentral:rRNA from 1 species
GAUGAACGCUGGCGGCGUGCUUAACACAUGCAAGUCGAACGAAGCACUUUAACUUGAUUUCUUCGGAUUGAUUGUUAUUGUGACUGAGUGGCGGACGGGUGAGUAACGCGUGGGUAACCUGCCUCAUACAGGGGGAUAACAGUUGGAAACGACUGCUAAUACCGCAUGAGCGCACGGUAUCGCAUGAUACAGUGUGAAAAACUCCGGUGGUAUGAGAUGGACCCGCGUCUGAUUAGCUAGUUGGCGGAGUAACGGCCCACCAAGGCAACGAUCAGUAGCCGACCUGAGAGGGUGACCGGCCACAUUGGGACUGAGACACGGCCCAAACUCCUACGGGAGGCAGCAGUGGGGAAUAUUGCACAAUGGGCGAAAGCCUGAUGCAGCGACGCCGCGUGAACGAUGAAGUAUUUCGGUAUGUAAAGUUCUAUCAGCAGGGAAGAAGGAUGACGGUACCUGACUAAGAAGCACCGGCUAAAUACGUGCCAGCCGCCGCAGUAA